rnacentral:rRNA from 1 species
GACGAAGGGGGCUAGCGUUGUUCGGAAUUACUGGGCGUAAAGCGAGUGUAGGUGGUUGUCCAAGUUGGAUGUGAAAGCCCUCGGCUCAACCGAGGAAGUGCGCCCGAAACUGCAGAGCUUGAGUGCCGGAGAGGGUGGCGGAAUUCCCCAAGUAGAGGUGAAAUUCGUAGAUAUGGGGAGGAACACCAGUGGCGAAGGCGGCCACCUGGACGGUUACUGACGCUGAGACGCGAAAGCGUGGGGAGCAAACAGG